GUUAGGUUUGAGUGCAUACGAACUAUACUGGAUUGGUUGAUAAAAGUUUAAUAAAAAUAACGAAACAACAAGUUCAGUCAACGAUCAACAAUUAAAAACGAAAAUUAUAACAGUCAAGGUUUGCUUAUAACGAGACCUGUCGCACUUCGCAGCUUGAGAUAGACGUUAUGCGUUAGAUUCGAUUCAAUGUGUAACGUUCGACACGUCACAAGGAACUGUUCGACUUUAAAUGAUUUCUUUGUCUCAUCUUUAAGACGACCCCCACUAUACUUAGGUCACGCCACCGUUCGCGCCUAUGAUCACGUAUGUUUGUUUUUGCGUGGAAAACGUAACGGACAAAAUUCGACGUUUCGAGAGCUCGCUGCUUGGCGACAACUAUGCGCUCGUCGAUACAUUGUAUAUGAUUCGGCGGUCAGAUAAGACGAUCUGACUGCGACAUUGUAGGGCCGCGAGCGACGGUUAGAAAAUACAGCCUGUGGUAAGCCUCGUGGCGUAACACACAUUAUUAUUUAUUAUUAUUAUUUAGCAAAUAUCGUAAUGCAUUGCAGAUCGCUUGGUCUAUUAUUUUUCCAAUGAAUCAUUCACGCGUUAUUAAUCGCCGCGUAUCAUUUCUAUACACGAUCACUGCUAAUUGCGGCGUUAAUUACGGUAGCGUUGCUAUCAUUGUUGUUAACGGUAUUAUCGGUUUUACUAUUUACGUAAUUAUAGUGGCGAUGCGUAAACGUGCGUCAAUUAAACGGAGAAAGCUUCCAGCAACAAAGUCCGUAUAUUUAGAUAUAAAUCCAACGGGUGACGGAUUUAAGUAAAAAUAGUUUAGAGCAACUGCUCCACCCCCUCCCUUCUCACCGUAUUACUUCCGGUACAAUUUAAGGUAUAACGAUCUGACGUCUCACUUGGAACAAAUUCCUUUGCCAUUGCACUCUUUCAUUCUAAUAACCGCGUCGAAUUUAUAAACCAAUAUAUACACGCGACACGUAAGACCAAACAUAAAAUGGUUACGAAUAAUCCGUGGAAAUCCAAUUUGCUCACGAAUCGGAAUAAAUCCAAUUUCGUGCGAACUCUUCGAUCAAGUUUGAAGCAGUUCUUCAUCCUCGACCGAUAUUCGUUCCCGAAUAUCAAUCGAACAAAUCGAAUUUAAUUACUCAGUUAAUUAAACGAUAUCAUCGACGAUAACAAACGCGAUGGUAGACGACGUUGACGCGAACAGACACACGCUACGAUUCGGACCUGUUUCAUUCUCGCGUCUAUUUCCAGCAACCGGCAGAAAUAGAUGCAUUUACCACACGGUGAAACGAGCGAGGGAUCCGUGUGAGCUUGGCCGUGCCUCUACUCGAAUUAGAAAUGGCAACAUGUUAAUCGAAGGUUAAGGAUAUCGCGACGAUGUAUGAGCGAGUCGCGAGACGCGAUCCCGAGAGGAAU
rnacentral:misc_RNA from 1 species